CCUACGGGAGGCAGCAGUGAGGAAUAUUGGUCAAUGGCCGGAAGGCUGAACCAGCCAAGCCGCGUGAAGGACGAAGGUGCCAAGCAUUGUAAACUUCUUUUGUCAAGGGACAAAAUCAGGCUCGAGAGCCUGACCGAGGGUACUUGAAGAAAAAGCAUCGGCUAACUCCGUGCCAGCAGCCGCGGUAAUACGGAGGAUGCGAGCGUUAUCCGGAUUUAUUGGGUUUAAAGGGUGCGUAGGCGGACUGUUAAGUCAGCGGUAAAAGCCCGGGGCUCAACCCCGGCGAGCCGUUGAAACUGGUUGUCUUGAGAUGUCGAGAGGUAUGCGGAAUGCGCAGUGUAGCGGUGAAAGGCUUAGAUAUUGCGCAGAACUCCGAUUGCGAAGGCAGCAUACCGGCGGCGAUCUGACGCUGAGGCACGAAAGCGUGGGUAUCGAACAGGAUUAGAUACCCUGGUAGUC
rnacentral:rRNA from 1 species